GUGAUGUUCUUGCGUAUCUGGGCUCGGCGCUGCCGCUCGUGCUUGGGCUCUGCCGCCACGUCCAGGGCCCGCUCGUACUGGGGCAGGCAGGGGGCACAGCAAGCUGUCAGCAGGGCAGGAGGCCGGCAGGAGGCCAGCAGAUGCCCACGACUCCCGGGGUGCAGUUACGUGCUAGAUGCUGUGUGAUGUGGGCACUGACCCGCAACACUGAGCUGUUUCUUCAUGGGCAAAACAGGGCUGCACUCACCUCGUUCAGCACAGUGACCAGGGCCAGCGAGUACUCGAUGACGUGCUGGGGAUCGGCCUGCCGCAGCAGCCCCGGGAGCACACUAGCGGUGAGCCCGUGCAGCCAGACUGUGAGCCCCAUUGCGCUGCCGUUGGGCUCUGGGAGGGUGAUGGCCAGAGACCUACGAGCAGAGGGGGGUGGUGAGUAGGUGGCAGUCUCGGGGGCGCCCUCCCACGGCCUGGCUCACCUGUUGAGGGCGACCACAGCGGCUCCCAGCUGGUCCUGCACCACCACGGCCAGGCCCACCUCGAAGUGUGGCCUGAAACCCGGGGGCAGCACGGCUCCGUAGCCGGAGAGGCUGCCCUUGUAGACACAGAACUCCUCGCAGUGGCCCUGGCGACAGCGCUGCAGCAGCAGGGCGUACACCAGCGGGGCGCCAGCAUCCUCCGCGUCAUGCCAGCCUGAGGGACGGUCCCCACGGCAUCACGGGAGGGCUCCGUGACCUCACAGAGUCGGGGGAUCCCGCUGCUCCCCCUACGCAGGCCUGCACUCACCCAUGCAUUCGAAGUGCACCUUGGUGGUGAGAGCGUGCACAGCGCCCAGUGGGAAGAGGCGGCAAGAGCCCCCCAGCGGCGGGCGGUUGGGGGACAGGGGGAUGGAGGCGCAGCCCUCCUCCUUGCCAGAGCGGCCCAGCACCGUCAGCGUGAAGGUGUAUCCCUCGCCGUCCCGCAGCACGCCCCGCCGCAGCACCAGUCACAUGCCUGCGCUGCCCGUGGAUGUGGUGGUCUCAUCCAGCACCAGCGUCUUGUUGCUGAACGACACACACUCCAAGGACACAAUGGGCACCCGG
rnacentral:lncRNA from 1 species